GUCCUACGGGAGGCAGCAGUGGGGAAUUUUUCGCAAUGGGGGCAACCCUGAAGAAGCCAUGCCGCGUGGAUGAAGAAGGCCUUCGGGUUGUAAAGUCCUUUCGUGGGGGACGAAAAGGUGGUUCCUAAUACAAGCUGCUGUUGACGUGAACCCAAGAAGAAGCACCGGCUAACUCCGUGCCAGCAGCCGCGGUAAUACGGGGGGUGCAAGCGUUAAUCGGAAUCACUGGGCGUAAAGGGUGCGUAGGCGGUACGUUAGGUCUGUCGUGAAAUCCCCGGGCUCAACCUGGGAAUGGCGGUAGAAACCGGCGAACUAGAGUAUGGGAGAGGGUGGUGGAAUUCCAUGUGUAGCGGUGAAAUGCGUAAAGAUCUGGAGGAACAUCAGUGGCGAAGGCGGCCACCUGGCCCAAUACUGACGCUGAGGCACGAAAGCGUGGGGAGCAAACAGGAUUAGAUACCCUGGUAGUCCACGCCCUAAACGAUGAAUACUAGAUGUUUGGUACCUACCGUACUGAGUGUCGUAGCUAACGCGAUAAGUAUUCCGCCUGGGAAGUACAGCUCGCAAGGUUAAAACUCAAAUGAAUUGACGGAGG
rnacentral:rRNA from 1 species